CCAAAACCCCACCUCCCCCGCUCGCCGGCGUACUCCGACGACAGCUCCUUUUGGACACUAGUUCCCUCCACCGGCGCUCCAAAGGUCCAGAUCCGGUGUCACCCGUCGGCUGCCUUUGCUUGUGCCGCUGAAGAACAGCAAGAGUCAAUUAACCAAAUCAGAGGCGAUGAGAAGGAAUCAGUCCAAUUUUUUCCAUUCCCAUCAUCAAUGUAGUUCGGUUGCUACAUCAUCAAGCAAAAAGGAAGGGGGAGAAAGGAAGAAAGGAAAGUGAAAAUAUGGACAACACCUUGUACGGGAGAGCGACGCCUUAAGUAGCGUGAAUCUGGAGGGGGAUCUAGGCGAGGCCGGCGCCGACAGCGCCUGCAGCAGCGGCACUCAGUGGUUCCUGGUGGCCGCCAGCGCGGCGGGUGGCGUCACGGGGGCCAGGUCCACCGGCUGCUGUAGCGGCCUAGUGCGGCAACAGAGGACCGUCGUGGACGAGCCGGUUGCUGCUAUUGCUGCUGCGGGUGGCCGGUGGUCGUCAAGCGAUACGUGCCAUGAGUCUCACUCAUCAUCUACCCCUUCCCACUACUGUAAGUAAUCACACUAAGCCGUUGCACUGAUUAAAUUGUUGAAUCUGAGAUUUGUCUGUACCAAAUUUGGCUAAUCAAAAUAGCAGUUAAAAAAGGUGAGCUCGUGGAGGAUCCUCUGUUUCAGACUGAGUGUCCUUGAUUUGGUGAUGGUGUCGCUAUGAUGUCGCUUAACUGCUUUGGGAUGGACAAUUAUGUUAGCAAACCAUUUUUUCUCUUAUUCAUGCUGUUUUUAGGAUAUAUAAGUUUGUUGCGCUUGCCAACGCACUUUUUAAAUUUCUAAUGCUAAAGGUAGUUCAUGAUUUUGACCAGGUUGAAUGUAGGUAUUAGAAUCUUAAUAAUUUUUUUGUUAUUUGUCAAUGUGUAUUAUGGAUAUUCUUUCAAAUCCUUUAUAGUUAGAUUUUAUUGUUAUCUCUCCAAUUAUUUUCACGUUUUAUGAUACUGACGACAAUAGGAAGGUUGCUUUUGAUGACAUCUUCAUAUUGUUGCGAGAUCUGACAAUUUCAUUCAUGUCAAAGCAAGAGAGAAAGGUUUGUAUUCUGGAUUUUUGGUUCAUUCUUGUGUUAUUGCACGACAUAACAAAACAAAUUAAUAAUCUUUACUUCAUUCUGUCAGUGCCUUAAUGCCUUGAAUUACUGGAAUGCUGGAUACACCCCAUGUUUUCACAUAUUGCUUUUAGUCGAUGAUGUAAUUCAUGGUUGUACUUCUUACAUGGUCAUGAGCUACUACAUAGUAUCAGUCGCGAGAUUAUCUCAGUUAAACAUAAUGCCUUCUGCAAGGAGUUUAACAUUCUUUCUGCCCCCAAAAAGGGACUAUUGACAUCAUUGCGGUAGGAUACAAUUUCCUAGAAUUAAGGUUUCUUAAUUCGGGUAUAUAGCUUCAAAAGGCAUUCAUUAUUUUUACCUAUUUUUGUAACAGUAAUGUACAAAACAUUUUGGUUGUUGUGUUAUUGCGCCCCCUCCCACAUGCACACAUUAGCAUUAGUCUUUUCUGAAUAUGCUCACGUGAAGACAUUUAUUGUGCAUUAUAGAAAGUCUUGACUCAUGUGUUACAAGAAAGUGGGUACACACAAAAGAUUGACAUUUCACCCUCUGAGACUUUAUGAAGGUAAGCGUAUUUCUCCUUUAAGAGGUAAAUUUACUCAGUCAUAACUCAUAAACAUGUUAUCACCAUUCAUAAUCUACUUUGGGCACAUAAAUAUUACUUUCAUGUUACCACAAGAUGUUAUGCCAAUGUUCUUACAGAUGGAAAGAAGAUAUCAAAAUGCAGUCAGGAUGUCAAGGCCAGUUCUUGAUGCAAUGAUCAGGUAUUGCGCUAUUCUUAAUUUCUUUUUUGUUCUGUUUGGUUUUGGAUAUUUUUUAUUGGGAGUACAAGGGGGUCCCAAAUAGCAGAUAUUCUAUCGUGGUUAUAUCAUUACCUACUUGCAUGGAAUUGCAAUGUAUGAAUAGAAGAAAUAUCAUAAAUGGUGCUGCAAAUAAUUCAAUAUGGUAAGUAGGAGCAAUUUGUAGUAUGUUUUAAGUAGAUUUCAUUGAACGAGGCUUAUGUAUCAACAUCUCUGCCUUAGUGCUAUUAUGUUUUAAGUAGCGAAUGGCAUGAGUCCAGUACAAUUUCCCAUGGCUUAAUGUUCAUUUCUUUCUUUUUUUCCUUUCAGUUAAAUCUGCCUUUGUCAUGCUUUUCUAAGUUCAAUAUUAGGUUCGAAUCAUUGAACUUCUCUGGUUGUGUACCAAGUUAGAUAGUAGCAGAGAAAUAAUGAAUAUUUUCUGUUGGUGUUGAAACCAAAGGAGAAUGAGGGACAGGCUGUAGCGGUUGGCUGGUUCUUGCAGGACAUUAGGUACUAAAAAUAUGUAUUUUUUAAACCUCAGUUUUGGUGUCUAAUGUAAUAGUUAGAUUUGUUGUGCGCCAAUGCCCAAUCUUUCAUUGAUGGCAGGAAUGUGUCAUGUGUUGUAGAAUUUUCCUUCAUUUGUUGUCUGCGAACAAGGGUACAUAGCUUUUAAUUUGGAAAUCUAAUUCAUUUGGACUGAAAUAAAUUCUGAAAGAAUGGGAAUACCUUCAA